rnacentral:tRNA from 1 species
GCGAUAGUAGCUCAACGGCAGAGCACCUCACUGUGGAUGAGGUGGUUGAGGGUUCGAAACCCUUCUAUCGCC